rnacentral:rRNA from 1 species
UACGAAGGGGGCUAGCGUUGCUCGGAAUCACUGGGCGUAAAGCGCACGUAGGCGGCUUGUUAAGUCAGGGGUGAAAUCCUGGAGCUCAACUCCAGAACUGCCUUUGAUACUGGCGAGCUUGAGUUCGGGAGAGGUGAGUGGAACUGCGAGUGUAGAGGUGAAAUUCGUAGAUAUUCGGAAGAACACCAGUGGCGAAGGCGGCUCACUGGCCCGGUACUGACGCUGAGGCGCGAAAGCGUGGGGAGCAAACAGG